rnacentral:rRNA from 1 species
UACGGAGGGGGCUAGCGUUGUUCGGAAUUACUGGGCGUAAAGCGCACGUAGGCGGGAAGGCAAGUCAGAUGUGAAAUCCCUGGGCUCAACCCAGGAACUGCAUUUGAAACUCCCUUUCUUGAGUGUCGGAGAGGAAAGUGGAAUUCCUGGUGUAGAGGUGAAAUUCGUAGAUAUCAGGAGGAACACCGGUGGCGAAGGCGGCUUUCUGGACGACAACUGACGCUGAGACGCGAAAGCGUGGGGAGCAAACAGG